rnacentral:lncRNA from 1 species
AGCUGCGCACCGAGGCGCACCUCCGCGCACCCUCAGGAGGCGGGUCCAGCUCGGUGGCGAGGGGAGCGCGGCCCCCGAGUGGGCGAGGCGCUGGCGGCUGUAGGCUCCGAUACCGCGGAGCACACUCCCCUCCAUCGAGACCGUGCCCCCGCGGGGUCUGUGUCCCCGGGAGGAGUUGGCUGCGUUUGGAGAUCCCUCGGCCUGGUAUUCGUCGCGUCUCCCUGCUUGUUGCUCUCCACGUUUAGCCCCAUCCGACUUCUGGAAGCCCAGGGGUGUGUCGCUCGACCCCUAAAAUAUGCUCCUACCCCUAGGGCAAACUUCAGAAUCCUCACCCUGGCCCCCUUCCCAGUUCUUGGUUCCCAGGCAGGUCCCUUUGCAAAGCCUCUCUCCAGCAAGAAUGCGCAGAAUGGGCCUCUUUCUCCUCUUGACUCCUGCCCUCCAGCACUUUGCAGCUUUCUUCUAUUUUAGCCUCUCUCUCUCUCUCUCACACACACACACACACACACACACACACACACACACACACACGGUAUAUUCAAUGAGUUUGCUUAUUAGAUGGGUACUUGAUGUACAAGACUCCAGAGGCUCUGUGGGAAGAGCCACAUUCCUUCCAGGCUCACUAACCCACUCCCUCUUUGUGCUCCAGCCCUCACUGUCUUGGUCUGUGGCAUGCAGUUCCUGGGUCACAUUUCCUUCUCUGCCUUCAGCACAGCCUCGGGCUGUGCCUGGCUCCCAGGCUGGAGUUCCUUGGUUCCAAAGCCUGCAGUCCCCUCUGCCAGAGACAGAGCUGGUUUCAUGGGUGAACAGCCCAUGCAGUCACAACGGGCCGCAUGCUCAGAAUCCUGUACUUGGUUUAGUACUUUGCUGUUGCCGUCUUGAAAUGAUUUUCUAAUAGGGGUUCUUGUGUUUUCAUUUUGCACGGGGCUGUGCAAAUUAUGUGACUGGUCCUGGCUAGAGACCUCAGAGGUCGUCCACCCUGAUCUCCACCAUAUCUCAAACGCUGAAGAUUGACUUCCAGGUCUGGCCCUCUUCCCAGGAUGGCACAUUGUGUUUUAAUCAUUACCUUUCCCUCCUGUGCGAUGGCGGAUCAUGCAAGUCCACGCUGGCUGUCUGUCCUGGGUGUAGAUGCUGAUUUGGUGUCCCACUCAGAUCCCCUUGCAGGAAGAACGGAGCUCCCUAAGUGUGGUUUAUGCCCCACAGCUCUUCCACUGUGGGUCAGGCCAAGGCUGGGCUGAGACUGUUCCUGCUCAGCAUUUUUCCUUUCCCUCUUCUGCUUCCUUCCUUCUUUUACUGGUUUUUCUGGAAGUACACUCCCCCCCAGCCCCACCAAACAAACAAAACAAACAAACAAAAAAACACUUCAUGCCUGUCUCAGGCUCUGCUUUUAAGACAAUGAUUUUAACUCCCAGAUCUCUCUCAACAGAGAGCACCAGAUUCUCAAAACAGUAAGUCCUACCACUUGUUCUAUCGUAAAACUUAUUUUGGGCAAGUCACUCAAGCCUUCGAUAGGUAAGAUAGUACCUGAAAGCAUUCCAGCUCAACUCUGCCCCAAGAGGGAGCCACCCCAUGGAAGGACGGAGCUGAGCAACAUGCCACUCAAAGGAAAAGCACUUAGAACCACUCUAAUGCAGACUUUGGAGCCACAUGUGGGUUUGAAUCUCAACUCUACCUGAGUGACCCUGGGCAAGUCACUUCACUUCCCUGAGACUCAAGUUUCAUCAAGAUGGGAACAAUGAGCAUCUGCCUCACAGGCUUGUCGUGAGGAUUAAGUGAGAAGGUGCAGCUGCAAAGACAUCAAGCUGGACCCAUCGAGGAUUUCGGAUUCAGCCAUCAUGGGGCUGCUGCCGGGGAAGCCACUGCCCCUCCUUUCUCCUCAGCACUGGGGUUAUAAAAAAAUACCUACAAACCAUGAGAAAGUUUGUGUAAAAACACUUUUCUGCACAUAUAAAAAGAGAGACUGGCCGUGGUCAGUGGCUCAGGACGUGGACCAAAGUCCCAAGAGUGGCCAAGGGGAGUCCGUGGUGCCCCAGAGGUAGAAGAGCUAGCCUGGGGCACCCCUGGUUGCCGGGAC